GGAUGGCAUCAACAUUUCAUAGUGAAGAAUCAUGGUUUUGUUACAUCAGGAAAAUUAAAUUGGGAGAGUUAUUUUCUUUCCCAGUGAUAGUGGCAGUUAGAAUAUUUCACCUGUAAUGAGAUGUGUGCGUUCUGUGCCAUCGCGAGCCACGGCUCGGCCAUUAAAUCUAUGUAAAUGAAGAGAAACACGGGAGAGCCGCGCAUAAUAACGCGCGGAACAGAGAAAUGGAUCCUGGAAAGUGAUUAAUUUAUUUGAUGAUGCCUCAAGUGAGGAAUUUUAGGUCACAAAUGAAGUGACAGAAUGACAAAUUACCAUUUUAAAGAAUUUACUGGGCAUCAUUACUGAACAAUUGUCAGGUAGUUUAUGGUGGCUGAGAAGAUGGUAUAAAUAUAGAUCUUUUCCUUAUCUGAGAUGAAUUAUUAAUCACCUUUUUAAAAAUCUUUGUGAGUGAUGGUUGGCCGUCUCAUUGGAAAUAAUGUGUUCUACAAUUUUAACUAAAUUCUAAUAUGAUAUGUAACAGGAAUCUUUACAAUUAAAGUCUCAGUGGAGAGUGGUAGGAGGUUUACAGUCAAUUGCGGUUUUAAUGUGAUAGAAGAGGAUGAACCCGCUCGCAUAUUUCAAUGGAUUUCCUUAGGUUAUGUCCCUUCCCCGGCUGUAUGUCACGGUGCCUACUACCAGGACCGACUGCAGUGUGCAAGGCGAAGUUGCAAUUUGAAAUAAAGACAUUGUCUCCAGGUCCCAUCUCCACACUGCAGGCUGGAUUGGGGGAAAUGUGCGCGCUGCUUCCCUUUGCUGCAAAAGACGCUCAGGGUUUCCCUGUUGUGCAUAAUGGCACAUUUGGGGUCAGUCCCCUCCAGCGUCUCUCCAUUAGAGAGCAUCCACUGAGACUAAUAUAUCUGAAAUAUAUCAUGAAAACAACAUUUAGAGAGGAGAAAUGGUAGAAAACUUAAAGUUUCAUAGAAUCCAGGGAGGUAAUAUAAAUAAGCAAAUCAGCCUGGUAGUACGCUAUGCUGAACGGAAGAGAACGUGUGUCAGCUGGCCUGGAGCACCGUCAGAGG
rnacentral:lncRNA from 12 species